GGCUUUAUAGUGGAAAAAAGACGUCAAAUUGCAAGUUUGAAGAUGUAAUGGUUACUAAAGCUU
rnacentral:tRNA from 1 species